GACGAACGCUGGCGGCGUGCUUAACACAUGCAAGUCGAACGGAAAGGCCCUGCUUUUGUGGGGUGCUCGAGUGGCGAACGGGUGAGUAACACGUGAGUAACCUGCCCUUGACUUUGGGAUAACUUCAGGAAACUGGGGCUAAUACCGGAUAGGAGCUCCUGCUGCAUGGUGGGGGUUGGAAAGUUUCGGCGGUUGGGGAUGGACUCGCGGCUUAUCAGCUUGUUGGUGGGGUAGUGGCUUACCAAGGCUUUGACGGGUAGCCGGCCUGAGAGGGUGACCGGCACAAUUGGGACUGGGAUACGGCCCAGACUCUUACGGGGGGCAGCGGUGGGGAAUAUUGCACAAGGGGCGGAAGCCUGAUGAGGAACCGCCGCGGGGGGGAUGACGGCCUUCGGGUUGUAAACCGCUUUCGCCUGUGACGAAGCGGGAGUGACGGUAAUGGGUAAAGAAGCACCGGCUAACUACGU
rnacentral:rRNA from 1 species